AAGCGAUGCGAACAAUGGCAAAACCAGCGACGUCCGACCCUGAGAGAGGUUUGUCUGACGACGGUUACAGCGCCUUUCGUCGCCUGCUGCUCAUUGAGCUAUCCGUUUUGCGGCGCCGCUACGGACUCCUCUCCGAGGACCAUCACGAUGACGCUAACGGGCACGCCAUGCCCACCUCUGCCGCUGCCCGCGGCGCCGCGCCUUUUUCUGCGUUCGAGACCUCCUCCGUGGACGAAGAGACGGGCGCCCUCUGUCAGAGCGACCGGGACGCGAUCGAGGCGCUUUUUCACUCCAUCGACGAUUUCGCGCGUGAGUUCAACGAGGGCAAAGGCGAGGUGGAGCGCGAUGACAUUGUCUCCAAGAUUAUGCGCGAUAUAGUAUAGGGAGUGACCUCUACCAGCGGCGCCUGCUGUCGCGUGUCACGCGGAAAGAUACACUGAAAUCAACAGCAAGUAGCCGACGAAAAGGAUUUUUGCGGUGUCUGCAUGCUCUAAUCGCCGGUCGACGCCUCGGACCACUUGUGCGUCAUGCAAGGCGUAUCCGCGCCACUCCGUGUGGGAGUGCUUCCCGCGUUCUGUGUGUCUCAACGGCGAUGUCGUGCGUAGAGGCGCGUGUUCUCAUGGGGAAGUGUGCCCCGCCGCCCUCUCCUUUCCUCUUGCACGGACUGGCGCUCAUGUUGCUGCCAUUCGUACCUCUCUCCACGUGAUGUGCUUCCUUUCCUUUUCUUUUUUGUUCUGACUGCAUCUGCACGACGACGCCCAUUUCUUUCGCACGUACUCGCUCCCUAAACUCUCCGACCUCGGUGACGCACUCCUUCUUCUCGCACAUCGCCAAAUACGUUCAUUUCACCGUCCUCGAAAAG
rnacentral:misc_RNA from 1 species